AGUGAACGCUGGCGGUAGGCCUAACACAUGCCAGUCGAACGGCAGCACAGUAAGAGCUUGCUCUUACGGGUGGCGAGUGGCGGACGGGUGAGGAAUACAUCGGAAUCUACUUUUUCGUGGGGGAUAACGUAGGGAAACUUACGCUAAUACCGCAUACGACCUACGGGUGAAAGCAGGGGAUCUUCGGACCUUGCGCGAUUGAAUGAGCCGAUGUCGGAUUAGCUAGUUGGCGGGGUAAAGGCCCAGCAAGGCGACGAUCCGUAGCUGGUCUGAGAGGAUGAUCAGCCACACUGGAACUGAGACACGGUCCAGACUCCUACGGGAGGCAGCAGUGGGGAAUAUUGGACAAUGGGCGCAAGCCUGAUCCAGCCAUACCGCGUGGGUGAAGAAGGCCUUCGGGUUGUAAAGCCCUUUUGUUGGGAAAGAAAAGCAGCAGGUUAAUACCCCGCUGUUCUGACGGUACCCAAAGAAUAAGCACCGGCUAACUUCGUG
rnacentral:rRNA from 1 species